UGAAAAAAGGGCUUUUUAGAAAAAAUGGAAGUUUGCUUCUUCUCUAGUAAGUACCUUGAAGCUUUAUCAGCAGUGCUGCAUUCAGCUAAUUCAUAUUAUCAUGAAUUACAGACACCAAUACAAUACAGAUGGUAAAGGAUAAAACACUUUCUUGGAUAGAACAUCUGGCAGUUUCAUGAUCUCCACAAGCUGCUGGCUUCUCAGCAGCCUAACCCAAUGGUUUUACAGAAGGCAAAUAUUUUGGAUUCUGGCUUCUGUGUUUCUACAGAGAUUUGUGUGAUCUCACUGGAUGCUGAGUGUUUAUGAAGACACCAAAGAUAUCCUUUGCCAAUGCUCUUAA